UUGCUCCUACGGGGGGCAGCAGUGGGGGAUAUUGCACAAUGGGGGAAACCCUGAUGCAGCGACGCCGCGUGAGCGAUGAAGUAUUUCGGUAUGUAAAGCUCUAUCAGCAGGGAAGAAAAUGACGGUACCUGACUAAGAAGCCCCGGCUAACUACGUGCCAGCAGCCGCGGUAAUACGUAGGGGGCAAGCGUUAUCCGGACUUACUGGGUGUAAAGGGAGCGCAGGCGGUUCU
rnacentral:rRNA from 1 species